rnacentral:rRNA from 1 species
UACGUAGGAUCCAAGCGUUGUCCGGAUUUACUGGGUGUAAAGGGUGCGCAGGCGGACUGGUUAGUCUGGGGUGAAAUCUCAUCGCUUAACGGUGAAACUGCCUUAGAUACUGCCAGUUUUGAAUCAGCGAGAGGUUCGUGGAAUUCCGAGUGUAGCAGUGAAAUGUGUAGAUAUUCGGAAGAACACCAGUGGCGAAGGCAGCGAACUGGCGCUCGAUUGACGCUCAGGCACGAAAGCAUGGGGAUCAAACAGG